GACGAACGCUGGCGGCGUGCUUAACACAUGCAAGUCGAACGGAAAGGCCCUGCUUUUGUGGGGUGCUCGAGUGGCGAACGGGUGAGUAGCACGUGAGUAACCUGCCCUUGACUUUGGGAUAACUUCAGGAAACUGGGGCUAAUACCGGAUAGGAGCUCCUGCUGCAUGGUGGGGGUUGGAAAGUUUCGGCGGUUGGGGAUGGACUCGCGGCUUAUCAGCUUGUUGGUGGGGUAGUGGCUUACCAAGGCUUUGACGGGUAGCCGGCCUGAGAGGGUGACCGGCCACAUUGGGACUGAGAUACGGCCCAGACUCCUACGGGAGGCAGCAGUGGGGAAUAUUGCACAAUGGGCGGAAGCCUGAUGCAGCAACGCCGCGUGCGGGAUGACAGCCUUCGGGUUGUAAACCGCUUUCGCCUGUGACGAAGCGUGAGUGGCGGUAAUGGGUAAAGAAGCACCGGCUAACUACGUG
rnacentral:rRNA from 1 species